AUAAUGGUGGUUCGUAAACAUCCCACCUAAAAAAACUAGGAGGUU
rfam:Lactobacillus pobuzihii strain NBRC 103219 NODE_10, whole genome shotgun sequence.